rnacentral:rRNA from 1 species
CUCGGUGAGUACAGCGGCGGAAGGGUGAGUAAUACAUGGUUAACGUACCCUCCAGUUGGGGAUAACCCUCCGAAAGGUGGGCUAAUACCGAAUAAUGGCAAGAGGCGGCAUCACUUCCUGCUUAACGACGCAAGUCGCUGGGGGAGCGGACCAUGGCCUAUCAGCUAGUUGGCGGGGUAACGGCCCACCAAGGCGAUGACGGGUAGCCGGACUGAGAGGUUGAACGGCCACACUGGGACUGAGACACGGCCCAGACACCUACGGGUGGCAGCAGUAGGGAAUCUUGCGCAAUAGGCGAAAGCCCGACGCAGCGACGCCGCGUGGAGGAUGAAGGCCUUCGGGUUGUAAACUCCUUUCAUGAGGGAAGAACACUGACCUAACCUCAGGAAGAAGCACCGGCUAACUCCGUGCCAGCAGCUGCGGUAAUACGGGGAGUGCAAACGUUGUUCGGAUUCACUGGGCGUAAAGGGCACGUAGGCGGCUCGGCAAAUCAGUCGUGGAAUCCCGUCGCUUACCGGCGGAACGGCGGCUGAAAAUACCGGGCUCGAGGGCGUGAGGGGUCACUGGAACUCUUGGUGAAGCGGUGAAAUGCGUAGAUAUCAAGAGGAACGCCGGAGGCGAAAGCGAGUGACUGGCGCGUUCCUGACGCUGAGGUGCGAAAGCUAGGGGAGCAAACAGGAUUAGAUACCCUGGUAGUCCUAGCCGUAAACGAUGGACACUGAGUGGAGGAGGGCUUGCCUUUCUCUG